rnacentral:rRNA from 1 species
AUUGAACGCUGGCGGCAGGCCUAACACAUGCAAGUCGAACGAGUGGCGGACGGGUGUGUAAUGUCUGGGACCCUGCCUGAUGGCGGGGGAUACCUACUGGAAACGGUAGCUAAUACCGCAUACCAUCCGAUGUUCCCUGGUGGGAUUCGGCAGUGGGUGGGGUAAAGGCUCACUAAGGCGACGAGCCCUAGCUGGACUGAGAGGGUGACCGGCGAAACUGGAACUGAGACACGGUCCAGACGCCUACGGGAGGCAGCAGUGGGGAAUAUUGCACAAUGGGCGAAAGCCUGAUGGAGCCAUGCCGCGUGUGUGAAGAAGGCCUUCGGGUUGUAAAGUACUUUCAGCGGGGAGGCGGUACCCGAAGAGGAAGCACCGGCUAACUACGUGCCAGCAGCCGCGGUAAUAC